rnacentral:misc_RNA from 1 species
UUUCCGUAGGUGAACCUGCGGAAGGAUCAUUAAUGAUGCCCUCGACGUCUUUACCGACUGGUAGGGUUUGGGUCUGGCCUCUGGUCGACCUUCAUCUAACACACCGUGAACUGUGGCUUCGGCCAUUUUACACAAACUCUUAGUAAUGAAUGUAUUAUCAUAACAUAAUAAAACUUUCAACAACGGAUCUCUUGGCUCUC